CCCCUUCGAUGUUCCCGGCCGCACAUGUGCUACACUGGUGGAGGCAACGAGUAUAGUUACUGUGGGCGUUCGCGUCCCCAGACCCCGCACUGGCAACAGUGUAGGUAAUCUGGUGAAACUCUACCGUGCUUGGGAUAGGACUUUGUAAUUCUGGUUCUUGAACGAGGAAUCCCUAGUAGGCAUUACGUCAUUAGCGUGUGCCGAUUACGUCCCUGCUCUUUGUACACACCGCCCGUCGCUACUACCGAUUGAAUGGCUGGGUGAAGAAGACGGACACGGCCGCCCUAAAAAGCGGGCGUUGGAAGUCUUCUCAACCUAGGUCAUUUAGAGGAAGUAAAAGUCGUAACA
rnacentral:rRNA from 1 species